rnacentral:rRNA from 1 species
UCCGAGGGGGGCGAGCGUUGUUCGGAAUUAUUGGGCGUAAAGGGUGCGUAGGCGGUUUGGUAAGUCUUAUGUGAAAUCUACAGGCUCAACUUGUAGUCUGCAUGAGAAACUGCCGGGCUUGAGUAUGGGAGAGGUGAGUGGAAUUCCUGGUGUAGCGGUGAAAUGCGUAGAUAUCAGGAGGAACACCUGUGGCGAAAGCGGCUCACUGGACCAUAACUGACGCUGAUGCACGAAAGCUAGGGGAGCAAACAGG